rnacentral:lncRNA from 1 species
CCAAAAUGUAGAUAGAUAUAGACAGGGUCUACAAUGGAUGUACAAAGGGUGUACAAAUGAUGUAUAAAGGGUGUACAAAGCGUGUAGAAAUAGUGUACAAAGGAUGUACAAAUAUAUAGAAAUAGUUAGAAAGGGUGUACCAAUGGUGUACAAAGGGUGUACAAUAGGUGUAUAAAGGGUGACAAAAGUAGUACAAUGGUUGUACAGAGGGUAUAAAAAGGUUGUACAAAGAAUGUAUAAGGGGUGUUCAAAGUGUGUACAAAGGCUUUAAAAAUGAUGAAGAAGGGGUUUACAAAGGGUUUAUAAAAGGUGUACAAAGGUAGUAGAAAAGUUGUACAAAGGAUGUACAAAGGGUUUACACAAGAUGUACAAAGGUUUUAGAAAAGGUGUACAAGGAUGUAAAUAGAUGUAGAAAGUGUAUACAAAGGGUUUACACAAAGAGUGUAGAAAUGAUGUACAAACGCUGUACCAAUGAUGUACAAAGGGUGUGUAAAAGGUGUAUAAAUGAUGUACGAAGGUUACACAAAGGCUGCACAAUAGGUGUAGAAAGGGUGUACAAAGGUUGCACAAUGGGUAUAGAAAGAGUGUAUAAAGGUGAAUAAAUGGUGUACAAAGCAUAAAAAAAGGGUGUACAACGGGUGUACAUAAGGUGUUCCAAAAUUUAGAUAGAUAUACAAAACGUGUACAAUGGGUGUAGAAAUGAUGUAUAAAGGAUGUAUAAAGGGUGUAUAAAAGGUGUAUAAAGGGUGUAUAUUGGGUGUACAAAGGGUGUACAUAAGGUGUACCAUAAUGUAAAUAGAUAUAGACAGGGUCUACAAUGGAUGUACCAAGGGUGUACAAAUGAUGUAUAAAGGGUGUACAAAGCGUGUAGAAAUAGUUUACAAAGGGUGUACAAAUAUAUAGAAAAAGUUAUAAAGGGUGUACCAAUGGUGUACAAAGGGUGUACAAUAAGGGUGUACAAAAGUAGUAUAAUGGUUGUACAGAGGGUAUAAAAAUGGUGUACAAAGACUGUAUAAGGGGUGUUCAAAGUGUGUACAAAGGCUUUAAAAAUGAUGUAGAAUGGGUUUACAAAGGGUUUAUAAAAGUUGUACAAAGGUAGAACCAAGGGUGUACGAAAGGUGUACAAAGGGUUUACACAAGAUGUACAAAGGGUUUACAAAAGUAGUACAAGGAUGUAAAUAGAUGUAGAAAGUGUGUACAAAGGGUUUACACAAAGAGUGUAGAAAUGAUGUACAAACGCUGUGCCAAUGAUGUACAAAGGGUGUGUAAAAGGUGUACAAAUGAUGUACGAAGGUUAUACAAAGGCUGCCCAAUAGGUGUAGAAAGGGUGUACAAUGGCUGCACAAUGGGUAUAGAAA